UCAAAUCCAACUGCUUUCAGAGCAAGGAUUCUUGAUGGGAGCUUAUAUUUUGACAUAAAAAUUUGAGGGGCUGCAAGUAUAAGGUAAUUUUAUCCUUCUUUUGCAGGCUGAAUAUUACCAUAUUACAAGUUUGUGGUAUUCACACUGUAAAAAUACCACUAAUCAUGAUAAACUUGAUCUGGUCUUAACUCACCAUAACUCUGUUAAACUUAACGACCACAUGAACUUGAAUAUUCUAUUUGAGAAAUUAAAAUCUCUCGGCUAGGACUUUCUGCUGUGGUACAACGGGAUCAGCAGCAUCUUGGGAGCGCUGGGAUGCAGGUUCAGUCCCUGGCUCGGCACAGUGAGUUAUAAGGAUCCAGCAUUGCUGCAGCUGUGGCUUAGGUCGCAGCUAUGACUUGGAUCUGAUCCCUGGUCCAGGAACUCCAUAUGCCAUGGGGGGGGCCAAAAAAGAAAAAAAAAAAAUCUCUUGUUUAUAAAUUACUUUGUUAAAUAAUAUUUAUAUCUUGCACUUCACUUCCUUAAUAAACCUAUGAUUGUCAUUGCUAAGGGUUUUUAUUUCUUUGUGUUGCAGAUACCUUAGGUGUCAAUUCUUAUGGUAAUGAUUUAAAAAGAUUGGCCAAGCAGAUUUAAAACUUUAAUCAGAAUUUUUUUUUUUUUUUGGCCAUGCCUGUGGCAUGUGGAAGUUCCUGGGCCAGGGAUCAAACCUAUGCCACAGCUCUAACCCAAGCCACAGCAGUGACAAUGCCAGGUCCUUAAUCCACUAGGCUACCAGGGAACUCUAAUCAGAAUAUUUAAACAUGCAUGUUCUUAUAAAGAAAAUUGUCUUGUAGAGUAUUCCUAAAAAUUCUUCUGAAUUCAGUUCUAUUGAAAAUCAUUUAAAAGAUGUAUAUCUUCUUUACAGUAAUAAAUAUUACAUUCCUUUUUGUAUUUUAAUAUUUUGUUGCUCACUCAGGGUCAUACCCUGCUCAUUAUUUGUCUGUGUCAGGUGAUGAAGAUAUUCAACUGAAUGUGUGGUGAUCACAGGACAAAUGAUAGCGGUGUCUUGUGGCAUUAUAUUUUGGUAGCUGAGUUUGGGCUUUACAGCCAGACCCCUGGAGUUCAAAUUCCUUCCUAAUUACAUGAUCUUGAGCAAGUUACUUUAUUGCUUUGUGCCUCAAAUUCCCCAUUUGUAAAAUGAAUUGUUGAAAGCCUUUAAUGAGUUAAUACAUAUAAAAUGUUUAGAAAUGUGCCUGGUGUGUAGAAAGUACACAAUAGGUCUCUUUCAACAGAAUAAUUGAUUUGUUAAGUUAUAUGCCUAAUUUAUCAAGAAUCUCACAUAGUUAUACCUCAAUUAAUAUUUUUUGAAUAAUAAAUGUCACUAAUGAUAUUGUUUAUGGAGUACAAAAUACAUUUGCAUUUUACUCUGAAAAUUAGAAGUUCUAAUAGCUGUGUUAUUGUGUUUUCUGGGAUAUCAGUAACUUUAGGAUAGAUGUUCAUUUGGAAAAUAAAUGAACCAGAUACCCUUAAUACAACUCUAUCAUAUAAGGCUGUGGUGCUUGAAAUCUAAAUGUUGCUGCCACUAUUGCUUGCCCAGUGAGAAGACCUUGAAAUAUUAGUUACAGUUUUUUAAAGAGUGAAUAGGUCCAGUAGACUUCAACAAUUCUCUCUCUUCUGCAAAUCCACUCCCUUUAAGAUUUUAGUUUUAGAUUGACAAUAAAAGGAAGUUAAUUUGUUACAGUAUACUGAUGUCAGAAUAAGUCGCUAAGCCCUUUCCACUUAUCUUUCAUUUCCUUUAACUUUUUUUACACCAUAUAAAGAAAUCACACAACACAUUUGGUUUUGUGAACUUUGGUAUCUAUUUUUAUCCCACUUGUGCUUAAUAUAUGCUAUUGAUGUUCAGUAAUUGUGUUGAAUGAAUUAACUAGCAUGACAGAAGAUUCAGUCUUUGGCCAAAUUAUGUCUUCAUUUGUUUACAGAGCCUUGCAGAGCCAGUAAGGCAGCAGAAGAGAGCAAAUUGGGUGGGUGGCAAAGGAAGCCAUGGAGAUUGUGGUCAUCUGACUCUGAAGGGUGGAUUAAACACCAGCCAGAGUUUCUGACCUCUGCUGUGGGUAGGAAAGGCGUCUGCCAGAGACUAAUAAAUAGAUACUUCACAUGAAUGAUUGAAAUCCUUAGUAUUCUAGACUAUUUCUGUUUUUCCAGUUCAGUGGGUGUCAUGAUUCCAUAAAACAAAUAAAUAUACAUACACACAUAUCUACCCCCUAUAUGCUGAUACACAUAUAAAAUAGUUUUCCCUGGAAGAAAGUUGGUUUAACAUAGGUCACUUGUCCAGUAUCUGUUCGUUUGCUUUCUGUUUGUGGAGAAUUGACGGAACUUUAGAAGCGCUUGCAAAAACAACUUUGUUCAAAAUUUACAAGCAAUCAGAGGAGCUUUAUCAUUUCUCUUAGUGAUAGACUUUGAAUAACUUUUUCUAAUUAGAACAAAAGCAAAAGUUAAAUAUUCCCAAGAAAGUAUUGGCCAAUUUAUAAAAUGCAUGUAUGGCCCUCUUGCCGCUGGCGGGACCUCCUGCUCGGCUUUCUCUGCCUGCUGGCCCGAUUUCAGAACAAACUGGGAAAAAGCACCUAGAAAAAUGAUGGUCCACUUUUAAGUUCUGAUUGCUAGGAUGGCAGCCGAUGUCCCACGAGUAAAAGGCUUCAAGGCAUUGGACCGCUUUCCCUGGACUUUCUCAAAAUCUAACUUAUUUUAUUCUCUCUGUACAUUCAGGUAUGUUUGCAUUAUGGUUUCCUAAGUCUUGAUCACUUCUCCUGUUGUGAAGCCUUGGCAUAAACUCCAUACAUCUGUAGUGAGAAAGUCAACUUAGCCUUUUUCUUUCUUCCCAGCUGCUCUUGACGUUUAACCUCUUCCCUGAAACUUGAGAACAUGCCUCCCCCAACAACCCUCUCUUCCCACUCCUAGCCUAAUCCUUUGCUUAUGCACAAUGUUACUCUUACUCCGUGUAUAUUAUUAUUUAAUGUUGACACCUUUGUCUUUUCAUUUUAUAUCUGUGUGAAUACAGUCAUUUGCUCUUUGAGGGCAGGGACCAUAAUUUUUGAUUUGCGGUGUUGAUAGAUACUUACGUAGUAAAUGGCUGUUGAUAGGGUGUAAAAUGCACUGGGAUUUUGAAGCUGAUCAGAGAUAGUUUGAAUCCUCCUGUAAAUUAUUUGCGAAAUGCACAGAUUCUUUUUUACUGAUAGCUAAACUAUCAACAAAAUGGACCAAUCUCAGGAUUGAUGACCUAUUCAUAAAAUGCUGCAGAUCAAUUUGAAAAAUAAUUAUUGGAAGAGGAAAAAAGGGUGUUUGGGAGCAAAUCGAGUAACCUUGUUUUUCUAAGGUAUUUGAUUAGAAGAAUUGUGCAGAGAAAAUUGUUAAUGUUUAGACUGAUUUAUGUUUCUUCUUUCUAACUGUUCUUUGGUGCUCAAAAAUAACUGUUGGGCAGGUUUUCUUGAUCUCUCUUUAUCUUCUCCUGGUUCACGUCUGUUAUCAAGGCAGUCUGAUUACAUGCCCCAAGCAUGCUCCUUUGAUGUGUCAUUAUCUAAUUCGAUGUGGGAGGAACUUGCAUUGUUUAUUUUUCUUGAAAGUUGCUCACUGUUUAUUAUGUUAUGACUGCAAGGCUUUUCUGCACAAGAGCUUUUUGGGUCUGAAGAUCAGAUUUCAAAGCGAAAAGUGUUUUGUGUCCCUCUAAAUGGAGAGGAUUUGUAUGGUAUUUUUAAAAUUCAGACAUUCUUAAGGAAUCUGUUUAAAUGGUGGCUAAUUCUACUGCAGUAGAAGCAUUAGCAUUCAUUUGAUAUGUAUUGAAUUAAAUUAAAAAGUAUAUAUUUCUUAAAGUAUACUCUAAUAAUUUUUAACUGCAUUACAAAUAUCAUUUAACGUUUUGGAGUAAUGCUCAAUAGUAUUGCACAAAAGCUUAGAAGCAAGUUUAGUGCUACCUACCAAUUUCCAAAUAAUUUUUGAUCACUAGUAUUAAAGCAGUAAGCCUUUUAAAAUACAAAGUGUUCUUGUAAUCACUUUACCUCAUUGAAUAUCUCAUUCUUAGCAAAUGCUUUGUUUUCCUCAUCUUUUUGCAGUUUUUCUUAGUUUAUUUCAUUUAUCUUUUAUGUAAAUAGACCCAAACUGCCUUGCGUUGAAGGAAGAAGCUGAAUGGCGUAGGAGGAAUUUUGUGCGUGGUGGAAUUUAACCUCAGUUUAUGUCUCUCCCCUGCACAGUCCCUUCAGUCUGAAUAUGUUCCCUACUAAGGCCUUUGCCACUCCGGUGAAAGCUGUUCCACUCUUGGACACAGUUUCUUCGUCUGGACGAGCAAAGUAGAGAGAAAGAAAACAACUGCGUGUCGGAAGACUGUCUCUGCCUCCUUACCUUAACUUAAAGCGAGCACUAAGAUAAGACCUUCAGGAGACUUGAAACCAGAAAGCCCUGCUUAAUGACUACUAUAAAUGCACUGAAACAAUGUUUAUGGAGAUGUCAACUCUUUUUAAGACAGUUUUCAUGCUGAAUUUGGUAUUUGGAAAGGUUAUUUUUAAUGUAUUUCGGUAAUACAUUUGUUACUACAUUUACGUGUACAGUGUUACAGUAUGUAUGUAUUGUGAACUUUAAAAGACUAUUUUGAUACAUUUAUAAAUAUAUAAAAUUAUGUAAAAAUGAGACUCUAUUUUGACUUAGAUUUUCUUGCUGUUUGCUACCAAAAUUUGUAUUUUGAAUCUGUUAAGUAUGGUUUUAUGUACAAUGAAUAAGUAAUUCUCUUUAUUAAGGAAAAGUAAGGGAGACCGUUUUUAGAACGUGCUUUUCAUGUUCCCACUCUGAAGAUGGCAGAUCCGUUCAUUCUUUUGGGAAGUCAGUGUAACUUACCAAGUUUAUCCAAGUUUAUGGCCGGGGAGAGUGUAGUCUUCUGAGGUGGCUUCUUUAGGCCAUGUCCUUUCCCUUUGUUUUUGUUGCUGAGCCAUUUGGUUUUGCAUCUUUGGGGGCUUUCAUAAAAUUUAACAUCCAGCUGCAGAUCAGAAGUCACUGAAUAUUUUUUUCUCUGUGAAAGCACGAUAUUUCUCUAUGAAAUGACUCAAGAGUCCAAAUGCUUUUCUUUCUUUCCUCCUCUCAGAAGAAAUUCUUAACCCAUUUAGAAUAUUCAGAUUUUGGUACGAGGUUUUUGCCUGUAUUCACACGUGGUCUGGCACCAGUUUUCAAUCAAGGAAGAGGACAAAAUCUGAAAAAAGAUGCUGCUAAGUAGUUCUAUGUAUUAAAGGAAAGAAGUUUAAAAUAGAUAACUAACGACACGCAAGCUAGCAUGUCUGAAACCUAACAUGAAAAUGAAGGGGCUCAUAGGUACCUCACAGCCCUUUCAUGCAAGUGUAACCUUAUAUUUAGGCUCCAAAAGCCUAUAAGCUUCUUUCCCAUGGGGAGCUGGGGAGUCUUAGACCCUAAUUGUCUUCCACGCUGCUUAAGAAUGGACUUCUCAGAGACAGUCAAAUGGAUUCAUAUGAAGUGCUUUACUCUCAACCAUUGAAUUAUUUAUAGUGUAUUUAUUAGAAGGGGUACCUUGAGACUGUCGUACAUGGCUUCAGCAAAACAUCUUGUUUAUAUUUUAUAUUUUAAAAAAGGCAUUUGAAAGAAUUUUGACUCAGGCUCAUUAACUUAACCUUCAAAAACUGCAGUACCAAAUAAUUGCACUAAGCUGAUGAAAAAAAUGAAUUGUAUGUUUUAGGAAUCAAAAAUUAGGUGGAAUUCAACUGUGUACCUUUUUAAAGCUGAAAUAGUAAAAUAUUUUAUUAUGAGUUAUUGUAAUAAAUGAUUGGUUAAUUGUAUAGGAAGAGGAUAGUAUUUUUUUUUUAAAUUAUCAGUGAAAAGUAAUUCAGAUAACAUUUGAGAAGUGGGAGAAAGGGAACCAUAUUGACAGAUUCAGUUCUAUGAACACUGAUUCAUGCGCAGCUAUGAAAUGAUUGUAAAUUUGACUACUGUAAAUUUUCCAUAAUUAUGUGUGUAUAUUAGUUAUAUGUAUCUACAUGGGUAUGUCUUAAAAUUAUUUAUACACAUGUACAUACAUAGACAAACCACGAAGUAUAUGUGUAUAAUAUAGAAAGUAUAUAGCAAAGCGAUUCUACUCCAAUAAUAAAAAUCAUUUGACAUGUAUUUUGUUAUGAAUAGUUUACCUUCAAAAAAAGAUAUUUUGUUCUAUUUUAAAGUGUAGAAGAAUACACUGCUAAUACAUAAUAAAAGUUUUAUGCAAUU
rnacentral:lncRNA from 1 species